GGUACUCAAAGGGAGGUUGUUCGUGGUGAGUUUGCAUCGUUUAAUGAUGCCCAAUAUAUGGUCUAACUCUUUUGGGUAUC
rnacentral:pre_miRNA from 13 species